rnacentral:rRNA from 1 species
UACGAAGGGUGCAGGCGUUACUCGGAAUUACUGGGCGUAAAGCGCGCGCAGGCGGAUGUUCAAGUCAGAAGUGAAAUCUCGCAGCUCAACUGCGAGGCUGCUUCUGAGACUGUACGUCUGGAGACUGGUAGAGGCUGGUAGAAUUCCCGGUGUAGCGGUGGAAUGCGCAGAUAUCGGGAGGAACACCGGUGGCGAAGGCGGCCAACUGGACGAAUACUGACGCUGAGACACGAAAGCGUGGGGAGCAAACAGG